rnacentral:rRNA from 1 species
GGCAAGGGCGGGCGUUCUAUACAUGCAAGUCGAGCGGACAGAUGGGAGCUUGCUCCCUGAUGUUAGCGGCGGACGGGUGAGUAACACGUGGGUAACCUGCCUGUAAGACUGGGAUAACUCCGGGAAACCGGGGCUAAUACCGGAUGCUUGUUUGAACCGCAUGGUUCAGACAUAAAAGGUGGCUUCGGCUACCACUUACAGAUGGACCCGCGGCGCAUUAGCUAGUUGGUGAGGUAACGGCUCACCAAGGCAACGAUGCGUAGCCGACCUGAGAGGGUGAUCGGCCACACUGGGACUGAGACACGGCCCAGACUCCUACGGGAGGCAGCAGUAGGGAAUCUUCCGCAAUGGACGAAAGUCUGACGGAGCAACGCCGCGUGAGUGAUGAAGGUUUUCGGAUCGUAAAGCUCUGUUGUUAGGGAAGAACAAGUGCCGUUCAAAUAGGGCGGCACCUUGACGGUACCUAACCAGAAAGCCACGGCUAACUACGUGCCAGCAGCCGCGGUAAUACGUAGGUGGCAAGCGUUGUCCGGAAUUAUUGGGCGUAAAGGGCUCGCAGGCGGUUUCUUAAGUCUGAUGUGAAAGCCCCCGGCUCAACCGGGGAGGGUCAUUGGAAACUGGGGAACUUGAGUGCAGAAGAGGAGAGUGGAAUUCCACGUGUAGCGGUGAAAUGCGUAGAGAUGUGGAGGAACACCAGUGGCGAAGGCGACUCUCUGGUCUGUAACUGACGCUGAGGAGCGAAAGCGUGGGGAGCGAACAGGAUUAGAUACCCUGGUAGUCCACGCCGUAAACGAUGAGUGCUAAGUGUUAGGGGGUUUCCGCCCCUUAGUGCUGCAGCUAACGCAUUAAGCACUCCGCCUGGGGAGUACGGUCGCAAGACUGAAACUCAAAGGAAUUGACGGGGGCCCGCACAAGCGGUGGAGCAUGUGGUUUAAUUUCGAAGCAACGCGAAGAACCUUACCAGGUCUUGACAUCCUCUGACAAUCCUAGAGAUAGGACGUCCCCUUCGGGGGCAGAGUGACAGGUGGUGCAUGGUUGUCGUCAGCUCGUGUCGUGAGAAUGUUGGGUUAAGUCCCGCACGAGCGCAACCCUUGAAUCUAAGUUGCAGCAUCAGUGGGCACUCUAAGGUGACUGCCGGUGACAACGGAAGAAGUGGGAUGACGUCAAUCAUCAUGCCUUAUGACUGGUCUACACUGCUACAUGACGAACAAGGCAGCGUAUCCGCAGAGGUAAGGCAAGUUCCCCAAAA